GACGAACGCUGGCGGCGUGCUUAACACAUGCAAGUCGAACGGAAAGGCCCUGCUUGCAGGGUACUCGAGUGGCCAACGGGUGAGUAACACGUGGGUGAUCUGCCCUGCACUUCGGGAUAAGCCUGGGAGACUGGGUCUAAUACCUGAUAGGAGCCAUUUUUAGUGUGAUGGUUGGAAAGUUUUUGCGGUGUAUGAUGAGUUCGCGGGCUAUCUGCUUGUUGGUGGGGUAAUGUAGUACCAAGGCGGCGACGGGUAGCCGGACUGAGAGGGUGGAAGGCGACACUGGGACUGAGAUACGGCACAGACUGCUACGGGAGGGAGAAGUGGGGAAUCUUGCACAAUGGGCGCCAGCCUGAUGAAGCGACGCCGCGUGGGGGAUGACGGCGUUCGGGUUGUAAACUACUUUCGCUAGGGACGAAGCUUAUUGUGACGGUACCUAGACAAGAAGCACCGGCUAACUACGUG
rnacentral:rRNA from 1 species